UACGUAGGGUGCGAGCGUUUGUCCGGAAUUAUUUGGGCGUAAAGAGCUCGUAGGCGGUGUGUCACGUCGGCCGUGAAAACCUGCAGCUUAACUGUGGGCGUGCGGUCGAUACGGGCAUCACUGGAGUUCGGCAGGGGAGACUGGAAUUCCUGGUGUAGCGGUGAAAUGCGCAGAUAUCAGGAGGAACACCAAUGGCGAAGGCAGCUCGCUGGGGACGGUACUGACGCUGAGACGCGAAAGCGUGGGGGAGCAAACAGG
rnacentral:rRNA from 1 species